rnacentral:rRNA from 1 species
AGAGUUUGAUCAUGGCUCAGGAUGAACGCUAGCGGCAGGCUUAACACAUGCAAGUCGAGGGGCAGCACAGGUAGCAAUACUGGGUGGCGACCGGCGCACGGGUGCGUAACGCGUAUACAAUUUACCUUUUACUAUUGGAUAGCCCAGAGAAAUUUGGAUUAAUACUUCAUGGUAUAUAGAUAUCGCAUGGUAUUUAUAUUAAAGAUUUAUUGGUAUAAGAUGAGUAUGCGUCCUAUUAGUUAGUUGGUAAGGUAAUGGCUUACCAAGACAUCGAUAGGUAGGGACCCUGAGAGGGGGAUCCCCCACACUGGUACUGAGACACGGACCAGACUCCUACGGGAGGCAGCAGUGAGGAAUAUUGGUCAAUGGGCGGGAGCCUGAUCCAGCCAUGCCGCGUGCAGGAAGACGGCCCUAUGGGUCUUAAACUGCUUUUGUACGGGAAGAAAAAGGGGCACGUGUGCCCUGUUGACGGUACCGUAAGAAUAAGGACCGGCUAACUCCGUGCCAGCAGCCGCGGUAAUACGGAGGGUCCGAGCGUUAUCCGGAAUUAUUGGGUUUAAAGGGUCCGUAGGCGGGCCAUUAAGUCAGGGGUGAAAGUCUGCGGCUCAACCGCAGAACUGCCCUUGAUACUGGUGGUCUUGAGUUAUGGUGAAGUGGCCGGAAUAUGUAGUGUAGCGGUGAAAUGCAUAGAUAUUACAUAGAACACCGAUUGCGAAGGC